AGAAUCAACGCUGGCGGCGUGCCUAACACAUGCAAGUCGAACGAGAAAGUGGAGCAAUCCAUGAGUAAAGUGGCGACCGGGUGAGUAACACGUGACUAACCUACCUUCAAGUGGGGGAUAACCUCGGGAAAACCGAGGCUAAUACCGCAUAAUAUCGCAAGAUCAAAGCAGCAAUGCGCUGGAAGAGGGGGUCGCGGCUGAUUAGCUAGUUGGCGGGGUAACGGCCCACCAAGGCGAAGAUCGGUAUCCGGCCUGAGAGGGCGCACGGACACACUGGAACCUGAAACACGGUCCAGACUCCUACGGGAGGCAGCAGUGGGGAAUUUUGCGCAAUGGGGGAAACCCUGACGCAGCAACGCCGCGUGGAGGAUGAAGCCCCUUGGGGCGUAAACUCCUUUCGACCAAGACGAUAAUGACGGUACUGGUGGAAGAAGCACCGGCUAACUCUGCGCCAGCGCCGC
rnacentral:rRNA from 1 species